AGGAAACGAACUUUUCUCUUUCCCCUUUCCCUCUCUGCCUCUCUGGGGUUGAACCUAGACCCUUCCCUAUGCCACUAAUCUUUGUACAUCCCUUAGCCUGCAAACAGAAACUCAGUUUCAGCACACUACCUAAGUAGUAAAUAUGUUGGGCUUUACGACUGGAUCACGGGACAAAGACUCACGUCUUAACUACAGUUCAACUCAGCCAUAGAUAUUAUUUAGAUGAAGGGGUGUAGCUGUGUCCUAAUGAAACUAUAGAUAUUAAAGUUUAAGUUUCAUGUUUGAGAACACCUUCUCAAGACGUUAAGAAAUUCAGAGUACAUUCUCAGUUUACAGGCCACUUAAAUACCGGUACACCAUGCACCUGAGAUCUCAGCAUCUGGGAGGCUGAAGCGGGAAGAAGAUUGUUCUAAGUCUGAGGCCCAACUUCAAGAUGAUGGAAUCAGAUCCUGUCCAGGAAAGGAUGAUGUCAGAAGAUGGAAAAAUCUCAGACGCGUCCUUACCAGAGAGACAGCUGAAAGAAAUUAUAUUCUACACGCGCAGGUGAAAUCUCUGGUAAAUAAUCACUGAAAGUGGUCAGGGCUGGUUGGCGGCAGCGAGAACUUACAAAUGAGAGUUAGCUGUUCCCACCAUUUCCAGCUUCCUCCCUGCUCAAAGGGUGUGCAUCGGCUUUGCCUUUGGUAG
ensembl:lncRNA